rnacentral:rRNA from 1 species
AUUGAACGCUGGCGGCAGGCUUAACACAUGCAAGUCGAGCGGGGUGAUGGUGCUUGCACUAUCACUUAGCGGCGGACGGGUGAGUAAUGCUUAGGAAUCUGCCUAUUAGUGGGGGACAACAUCUCGAAAGGGAUGCUAAUACCGCAUACGUCCUACGGGAGAAAGCAGGGGAUCACUUGUGACCUUGCGCUAAUAGAUGAGCCUAAGUCGGAUUAGCUAGUUGGUGGGGUAAAGGCCUACCAAGGCGACGAUCUGUAGCGGGUCUGAGAGGAUGAUCAGCCAGACUGGAACUGAGAACGGUCCAGACUCCUACGGGAGGCAGCAGUGGGGAAUAUUGGACAAUGGGGGGAACCCUGAUCCAGCCAUGCCGCGUGUGUGAAGAAGGCCUUAUGGUUGUAAAGCACUUUAAGCGAGGAGGAGGCUCUUUUGGUUAAUACCCAAGAUGAGUGGACGUUACUCGCAGAAUAAGCACCGGCUAACUCUGUGCCAGCCGCCGCGGUAA